rnacentral:tRNA from 1 species
GUUGCUUUGACAGAAUAGUGUGAUAGAUUUAGAAUCUUUUUAUGUAGUUAAUUAAUUACAGGUAAUA